rnacentral:rRNA from 1 species
GUCUACGGCUAUACAACGUUGAAUACACCAGUUCUCGCCCGAUCACUGCAGUUAAGCAACGUCGAGCUCGAAUUAAUUUUUCUGUGUACC